UACGGAGGGUGCAAGCGUUUAUCCGGAUUCACUGGGUUUAAAGGGUGCGUAGGUGGGCAGGUAAGUCAGUGGUGAAAUCUCUGAGCUUAACUCAGAAACUGCCGUUGAUACUAUCUGUCUUGAAUAUAGUGGAGGUGAGCGGAAUAUGUCAUGUAGCGGUGAAAUGCUUAGAUAUGACAUAGAACACCCAUUGCGAAGGCAGCUCGCUACACUAUCAUUGACACUGAGGCACGAAAAGCGUGGGGGAUCAAACAGGAUUAG
rnacentral:rRNA from 1 species